CGGCGGACAGGGUGAGCUAACAACGUGGAUAACCUACCUAUAACGACUGGGAUAACUUCGGGCAAACCGGAGCUAAUACCGGAUAAUAUAUUGAACCGCAUGGUUCAAUAGUGAAACGACGGUCUUUGCUGUCACUUAUAGAUGGAUCCGCGCCCGCAUUAGCUAGUUGGUAGGGUAACGGUUACCAAGGCGACGAUGCGUAGCCGACCUGAGAGGGUGAUCGGCCACACUGGAACUGAGACACGGUCCAGACUCCUACGGGAGGCAGCAGUAGGGAAUCUUCCGCAAUGGGCGAAAGCCUGACGGAGCAACGCCGCGUGAGUGAUGAAGGUCUUCGGAUCGUAAACUCUGUCUAUUAGGGAAGAACAAAUGUGUAAGUAACUAUGCACGUCUUGACGGUACCUAAUCAGAAAGCCACGGCUAACUACGUGCCAGCAGCCGCGGUAAUACGUAGGUGGCAAGCGUUAUCCGGAAUUAUUGGGCGUAAAGCGCGCGUAGGCGGUUUUUUAAGUCUGAUGUGAAAGCCCACGGCUCAACCGUGGAGGGUCAUUUGGAAACUGGAAAACUUGAGUGCAGAAGAGGAAAGUGGAAUUCCAUGUGUAGCGGUGAAAUGCGCAGAGAUAUGGAGGAACACCAGUGGCGAAGGCGACUUUCUGGUCUGUAACUGACACUGAUGUGCGAAAGCGUGGGGAUCAAACAGGAUUAGAUACCCUGGUAGUCCACGCCGUAAACGAUGAAUGCUAGGUGUUGGGGGUCAAACCUCGGUGCCGAAGUUACACAGUUAAGCAUUCC
rnacentral:rRNA from 1 species